GGAAAGUAAGCGCACCAGAGGCCACGAAGCUUCUCCUGUGUGCAUGGAAGGAAAACGUGGAAGACCAACACGGCAUUCACCCAGACCUGUCCUGCAAAGUUCACAAACCGGGAAGACAUUCUAAGACAUUCUCCAAAUGCCCAAGACCGCCCGCCCAUUGUCCUCCACUGAUGUACAGCAUGUUUUCUAAAAUGUAGAAUACCUAUGAUGAAGCUUGACUUAAAUAAAUUUGGUGUAGUAUGAGAUUAAAAUGGGAGUCUUACUGAA